AAGAAAUCUGAAAGAUCGAAUGUUCAAAGCCUCAAUCAUCGACCAGUAAAAGAUAAAUCAAACGAAGUUACAAUUCCAAACAAGAACAACAUGCUUACCAAAAAGAAAUCACUGCCAUCUUAAACAGGAUAAAUCAAACGAAGUUACAAUUCCAAAAAUGAACAACAUGCUUACCAAAAACAAAUCACUGCCAUCUUAAACAAGUAAGUCCACAUUUUUAAUGGAGCUAAAGAAUUUUGCUGAUCUUUGUGACGUUGCAAUUGUCUUUCUUUGAUGCUAAGUUGUUGACGCUAAGGUUGAUACGUGCAAAUUCAUCGAAUUAAAUAAUACAAGUUAGGCAAUCUGGAAAUUACGACCAAGCUAUAGAGUUUCACGAAAAGUUAGCGGAAAUUCAAGAACAAUCAUCAGGUCAACAUCAUGUUGAUGAUGCUCAGUCUUUGAACAAUCAUGGUAAUUUGUUUUAUGAAAGUGGAAAUUACGAAAAAUCUAUAGAGUUUUGCGAAAAAGCUCUAGAAAUUC